GCCAAGAGCACCACCUACUUGCCAGGAGGCAGAUGAGGAUCUCAAUAUCCUAGUACCUCCCGUCCUAGCUUCUUAGAAGGGAUGCAUACAAAAUACCAUGUACACUCUCACCGAUGAGGAAGGACGUGCAGAAGGAGCAUCCGAGGUCAUGAACAGACUAAAAUUUCAAGGCAGCAGUUCACAGAGACAGAGACAGAGUUGCAGAUGCUCUUACUACGACCCCCCGCCCGGAAAGUGGUUUGCUGAAAAUAAAACCAGGGCACCUCCACUGCUCCAG